rnacentral:rRNA from 1 species
CUGACCGUAAACGAUGCCAACUAGCGAUCCGCCGGUGGCCUUCAGGCCCUGGUGGGGAGCUUCCCGGAAACGAAAGUCUUCCGGUUCCGGGGGAAGUAUGGUUGCAAAGCUGAAACUUAAAGGAAUUGACGGAAGGGCACCACCAGGAGUGGAGCCUGCGGCUUAAUUUGACUCAACACGGGAAAACUCACCCGGCCCGGACACCGUAAGGAUUGACAGAUUGAUAGCUUUUUCAUGAUUCGGUGGUUGGUGGUGCAUGGCCGUUCUUAGUUCGUGGAUCGAUUUGUCUGGUUUAUUCCGAUAACGAGCGAGACUCCAGCCUACUAAAUAGUGCGGGCAUUGCCUUUGUGCUUGUCACUUCUUAGAGGGAUUGGCUGCGUCUAGCGGCACGAAACGGAGCAAUAACAGGUCUGUGAUGCCCUUAGAUGUCCGGGGCUGCACGCGCGCUACACUGGCAAAGGCAGCGUGCUUGUCCGUCUCCGAAAGGAGCCGGUAAACCCUUGAAAAUUUGCCGUGAUUGGGAUCGGAAAUUGCAAUUAUUUUCCGUGAACGAGGAAUUCCUAGUAAGUGCGAGUCAUCAGCUCGCGUUG